AGUGUCACAGACCUUUGUGGAAGCAACAACAGCUCCCAUCCUUCCAACCUUUCUGGAGAAGCCGUGGCCUGAUGGUGAGCCGAAUGGGCUGGGGGGGGAGAAGAAGGCGGCUGGGGCGGUGGGGAGAUCUGGGGCCCGGAUCGGUGCCCCUCCUCCCCAUGCCACUGCCACCUCCUCCUCCUCCUUCAUGCCGGGGACCUGGGGGAGGGAGGAUCUCCAUCUUCUCUCUGUCCCCUGCCCCUCAUACAAGAAGCUCCCCCUCCUCAUUUUCCCCUCCCACCGCAGGGCCCCCUUGCUCAGUGCUACAGGGGACAGGGGCUUCUCAGUCUUGCCACAGUGCUCUCCCUAUCCCAGCCACCCCCCCAACACAGGCUCAACCUGCAAUGACACCUGCCUCUGCAUCUCCCUCCUGGGGAUCCCACUCCACCCCACCCCUGGCCCCGGCAACCCCCACUCCCUCACAGCAGUGCCCCCAGGACUCUCCUGGGCUGCGGGUAGGCCCUUUGAUCCCUGAACAGGAUUAUGAGCGGCUGGAGGACUGUGACCCUGAGGGGUCCCAAGACUCACCCAUCCACGGGGAGGAGCAGCAACCCCUGCUUCAUGUCCCUGAAGGGCUCCGAGGCUCCUGGCAUCACAUCCAGAACCUGGACAGUUUCUUCACCAAGAUCUACAGCUACCACCAGCGGAAUGGCUUUGCCUGCAUCUUGCUGGAGGAUGUCUUCCAGCUGGGACAAUUUAUUUUCAUUGUCACCUUCACAACCUUCCUCCUUCGAUGCGUGGAUUACAAUGUUCUCUUUGCCAACCAACCAAGUAACCAUACCAGACCUGGGCCGUUCCACAGCAAAGUGACCCUGUCAGAUGCCAUCCUACCCUCAGCCCAGUGUGCUGAGAGGAUCCGCUCCAGCCCGCUGCUGGUCCUCCUCCUGGUCCUGGCUGCCGGCUUCUGGCUGGUCCAACUGCUUCGCUCAGUCUGCAACCUCUUCAGCUACUGGGACAUCCAGGUGUUUUACAGGGAGGCCCUGCACAUCCCCCCGGAGGAGCUGAGCUCGGUUCCCUGGGCAGAGGUGCAGUCCCGCCUCUUGGCACUGCAGCGGAGCGGGGGCCUGUGCGUGCAGCCGCGGCCCCUGACGGAGCUGGACAUCCACCACCGCAUCCUGCGCUACACCAACUACCAGGUGGCGCUGGCCAACAAAGGCCUGCUGCCGGCCCGCUGCCCGCUGCCCUGGGGAGGCAGUGCGGCUUUCCUCAGCCGCGGCCUGGCGCUCAAUGUCGACCUGCUGCUCUUCCGCGGUCCCUUCUCGCUCUUCCGCGGGGGCUGGGAGCUGCCGCACGCCUACAAGCGCAGCGACCAGCGGGGCGCCCUAGCAGCGCGCUGGGGGCGCACAGUGCUGCUGCUGGCCGCCCUGAACCUGGCGCUGAGCCCGCUGGUGCUGGCCUGGCAGGUUCUGCACGUCUUCUAUAGCCACGUGGAGCUGCUGCGGCGCGAGCCUGGCGCGCUGGGGGCGCGCGGCUGGUCCCGCCUGGCGCGCUUGCAGCUGCGCCACUUCAACGAGCUGCCGCACGAGCUGCGCGCGCGCCUGGCCCGCGCCUACCGCCCCGCCGCCGCCUUCCUGCGCACCGCUGCGCCCCCCGCGCCCCUGCGCACGCUGCUGGCCCGCCAGCUCGUUUUCUUCGCGGGUGCACUCUUCGCCGCGCUGCUUGUGCUCACCGUCUACGACGAGGACGUGCUAGCCGUGGAGCACGUGCUCACCGCCAUGACCGCGCUCGGGGUCACCGCCACCGUCGCCAGGUCUUUCAUUCCGGAAGAGCAGUGCCAGGGUCGUGCGCCGCAGCUCCUGCUGCAGACAGCCCUGGCCCACAUGCACUACCUCCCGGAGGAGCCCGGCCCCGGCGGCAGGGACCGCGCCUACCGGCAGAUGGCGCAGCUGCUGCAGUACCGAGCGGUCUCCCUCCUGGAGGAGCUCCUGUCCCCGCUCCUCACCCCGCUGUUUCUGCUUUUCUGGUUCCGCCCUCGUGCCCUGGAGAUUAUCGACUUUUUUCAUCACUUCACUGUGGAUGUGGCUGGGGUUGGGGACAUCUGUUCCUUUGCCCUUAUGGAUGUGAAGCGCCACGGACACCCUCAGUGGCUCUCGGCGGGACAGACUGAGGCCUCGCUGUCUCAGCGUGCGGAGGACGGCAAGACUGAGCUUUCUUUGAUGCGGUUCUCCCUGGCGCAUCCACUCUGGCGCCCCCCAGGGCACAGCUCUAAGUUUCUUGGGCACCUCUGGGGCCGAGUACAACAAGAUGCAGCUGCCUGGGGUGCCACCUCGGCUCGCGGCCCCUCCACCCCGGGGGUGCUCAGCAACUGCACCUCGCCCCUGCCUGAGGCCUUCCUGGCCAACCUCUUCGUGCACCCUCUCCUGCCUCCGAGAGAUCUGAGCCCGACAGCCCCCUGUCCAGCUGCGGCCACAGCCAGCCUCCUUGCCUCCAUUUCCCGAAUUGCCCAGGACCCCAGCUCUGUGUCCCCAGGAGGCACUGGGGGCCAGAAGCUGGCCCAGCUCCCAGAACUUGCUUCUGCCGAGAUGAGUCUCCAUGUCAUCUACCUGCACCAGCUUCACCAGCAGCAGCAGCAGCAGGAGCCGUGGGGUGAGGCUGCAGCCUCCAUCCUGUCCAGGCCCUGCUCCAGCCCCUCACAGCCACCCUCGCCUGAUGAGGAGAAGCCAUCCUGGUCAAGUGACGGCUCCAGUCCUGCCUCUAGCCCCAGACAACAGUGGGGAACCCAGAAGGCCCGGAAUCUGUUCCCCGGAGGGUUUCAGGUGACCACAGACACCCAGAAGGAGCCUGACCGGGCCUCUUGCACUGACUGAGACGACUCCUCAGGCCUCUGGACAGAUGUGAGAAGGCACCACCUCAAGAGGGGAGGAGCGGGGCUGAUCCUGGUCGGGCGGACCUGAGUCGGGCAGCCGCUCUCCCGGAACUGGAAGGGAAAGCCAGGCGGCUCUCAGGGGCUGUUGGUGUCUGAGCCGGGAGGGUCGAACGCCCAGGGCACUGCGCCCCGCAACUGACGCUCCUGCAAGGAAAAGCUCUGGGUGCGUAUGCGGCUUGUCACCUCCUGGGUGCGCAGCGUGAGCCCGAAAAUGUCUUCGUGGUAGCGUUGCUGAUCCUGUCGGAAAAGAGCACAGUGGAUCAGAACCCGACUCGGAGACCUUAGCAGGAACCCCGCACGCUCAGGCCCGGCCCGCCCCUCCGCACCCGCAGCACGCCGAUGACGUCGCCGGCCUCGUCCAGCUCCAUGUCGCCCUCCGUCGCCAGGAUGCGCUGCACGGUCUGCAGGACGUUGGUUGCCAUGGUAACAUCGCCGCAGACAAACAUGUGGCCCCGCUCGAGGCACAGCACGCGGUGCACCUCCGCAGCCAGCUCCGUCCUCAGGAUGUCCUGCACGUUACCAUUGCGCCCUCAGGGUCUCACACCUUGGGGUUGUCAGGUUCCCGGGAGAAGGCGGUGAGGACUCGGCCAAACACCCCGCGCUGCUGGGCGUUCUGCACCUCGUCGCGGUAGAGAUGGUCAAGUUGGGAGCAUCGGCAGCCGAACACCAAAGUCAUGGGAGUGGGCUGCAGCCCUGCAAGCAACCCCGCGCUUGGGAAGGCUCUUCUCCGGGGCACAGUGCUAGUGGGGCCUCCCCACAGGCCACCGUCGCCCAGCCUGGCAGCCCAGCGUUUUGGGCUGAAACCACCAUUACUUUGGCUGUUUCAUCUCUAAGAGAGUGUAGAAUGCUUUCACAGAGACCCUGCACAGCCCUGAUUUACAGAGGGAAGGGAAGCGCGGGUGAGGUGGUGGCCCCUGGUGGAGCUGCGCUAGAAUGCGCGGCUUCGGACUCAGAAUUCCAUGCCCUUUGCAUUGUGUGACAUCGCAGUCCCCUUCCCCGCUCCCACUUCAUAUUCUCCCAUACUUAUAACUCUCCUCCCAGUCACAGCCCUCUUCUUUUGAUUGACAGACCACCCUGGGCACCCCAUGCUCAAUAUGAACACCUUGUAGCAUCCUUAGGUCUUGGACAGACCUCGGUCAGCUCUGGCACAGUCAAGAAUCCACCUUGGGCAGUUCUUCUUUGAGUCUUAGCCCUAAUCCCUUUGAAAAUUCUAUUUUCCUUUGUCCUCAAUCCAGUCAACACCUACUAUGUACCAGGCACCAGGAAGCCAGAAGCUCAGGGCCCAGCCCUUGCCUUUGGUACCUGCCCUCCCCUUGGUCUCAUGAGCGUCUUUUCAGCUUUGUGGACUUUGUUUCCUGCCCUCUCUUUCCUAUUUCCUGCCUUCCAGCCCCACCCCUCUGUCCCUAGAUUGUGUGACUCCCUUCAGGCAGUCCUUUAGUCCCCAGCCUCACCUUUGCUCUCAAUGUCAUGCAGCCGCUCCUGCCAGAAUCCCCGGAAGGGGGCAAUGCCAGUGCCUGGACCCACCAGGAUGCAGGGCAAGCUGGGAUCGGGUGGCAGCCGGAAGGAGGGAGCCCUGGCAGGAGAGACACUCCAUCAGGUCCCCUUUGCCUUUCCUGCUCCACCAUUCUCACCAUGCAGGGUGGGUGGAGCAAGGAGGACCCAAGUUCUUCCCAUCUCAAAAAAAAAUUAAAAAAAAAACAAAAAACAAAAAA